GAUAAAGUGACUGAUUAAAGUGAUAAAUUGUAAAUUUAUUUAUGAAUAUUAAUAUUCCUUUAUUA
rnacentral:tRNA from 1 species